rnacentral:sRNA from 1 species
AGGAAAUGAAACAAAACAUGCACAUAAUUUGAAAUUUGUUACGGAGACAAUGAAUGGAGAUUUAGGGACUUGGUUCCUCUUUGAUUAGAACCGUCCAAACUAUUAGGUUGUUGAAAACAAGUAUAAAACGUCUGCCUUCUAGCUUAAUGAAAUCAACAAAAAAAAUCAGAACUAUAGAGGAGUGAACGUGAGAGUAAUUUGAGUUCUUGGAGAACCAUAGAACCUUCACGGGGAGUACGUAGCAGUGGACCGUAGAGUAGCAAGAGUUAGCAAAUCUUACCAGGCUUGAGGUACCUCCCCUUUUUUAUAAAGAGGGUGACUAAGCAGCCAAUAUUGAAGGUGACCGAUCGGUCCAAACUGGAAGCAGACAAGCGAAGCGCACCAGUCGAAGGUUAGUGUCUCGGUCUCACAAUCUCCACUAAAACAACGUUGUUUUGGACGUGUUUUUGGACUUACGCAGAUUAUCAUAUGUUGAGAUUCUUGAGAUUAAUAGAAUAGUCUAGAUGAUUAUCUAAUUUUAUCAAGGGAAGAUUUAUGCUUUAUCUCGGUAGUUAAAAGGAAAAAUUCAUUUUUGUUUGUGUAAGGCGAUAGGUGGAUUCGAGUCUUGUCAUUUUCUUUUUAGAGGAAAUACAAAUGUCUUGCCGUAAGUUUCUGACUCGUGCUAAGUAUUGUGCUUGGUGAAUGAAUAUUUCUUACCAAUGUUUUUACUCGUAAGACCUUAAAUAAUAGAGGAGAUAUAUCCGAAGCUACAUGUGGAGGACGACUCUUAUCUAUGAUCCAUUUGACGGACCAAUUUUGAUAUAUGUUUAUCAAAUGUAUUGUAGAAUAGAACCGAGAUAAUAAGUCCAAUAGCUGCGUGUGAAGGGCCAAUGUCCAUUAGCUGUGUGUGAAGGGCAAAAACAUUUAAGUCAAAUAUCUAAGUGAGAGGAAGGAAAAACGGAGGGAGACUCGUGUCUAUAAAUUGUUAUACGAUACAAUAUCAGGGGAUAACACUUAAUGUUAUUAUUUGAUGUUUGAAGUAUGAAAAUAACUUUAUUUAUAACUUAUGUCUCUUUGUAUUUUGGUUAGCUCACCCUACUUAUAUGACUACGAUAAUCAUAUAACUUGUCUCGUUAUACUAGACUAGAUGAUGUUUCAGGUGACAUCGGAGAAGUUUAGAGCGAGGAUGCGUUGGAAAAAACUCUAUGGGAUUUUAAAAUAAGUAUUUUAAGUUGUGGAAUGUUAUGGUUUGUAAUUCUAAACAACUUUUAAGAUUCGGUUUGUAAUCCAAUAAUUACUCUUUAAAAUUCUUACAUUAUUAUUUUUCGAUAUAAAAUAUUAUGUGUUUAAAUGUAUUUAAACAUCUUGAAAAAAUUUCUAUGACACUCCGAGAAGAGGUGUUACAUUGACCAUAUUUUGUAGAAGCCCAUUAGAAGGGAAGAAUUGUAAUUUGGGGUCUAUAAACCCUAAAUCAGAUUUCACUUUCUCCUCUCUCCCUCAUUUUCACGUUCUUAGGUUUUGGGGAGCAUUGGGUGUUUUCUUCUUCUCCCCCUUUUGGGGGGUUUUAGGUUUUG